CUCUCUAGGGGAGGGGCAGAUUCCUCUGGGUGGUAGACUUGGAUCAGCCCUGUAUCCUUCUGCCUGCUGGAAGCUGUUUGUUGCCAAGGAGCAACUUUUCCCUGGAGCACUUCCCUGUCUAGAUCCCCAAGUCCUGAGCCCAGAGUCUGAGACCUGCCACUUCUGCAGAAAGGAAACCACUUAUUGGUUCUCAUCAGAAGAAAAAAAAAUUCAAAAGAUUCCAUAGUGUCUACCUGAGGUCCAGAAUAGAAGGAACUUGUGCUCACUUCCAGAGAAGAAUAUCAAAUGCUCAUUUAUGUGUUGUUAUUUCUUGAACAAAGGACAUCACGAUCACUUAUGUGGCUACAUACAUCUACAAUCCAUCUGUGGCAAAGGCAUAAAGACUCCAUUUCUCUCAACUUCGGAGCCUGUUCUCAUUCUUUGCUUGCUCUACCACUAAUGCCAAUAACUUGGGUCUCAUCAAACACGCCAAUGAAGACCUCUACACCACUCUGUGAAGGCUGCAUGGAAGGUUGGGGGCCUGAGAGCCCUCUGCAGUGUCCUCAAACCCCUCCUGUCUCUUCUGGUGAAGGUGAUCACCAGGAUGAUGCUCCACAUUGCCUGUGUGGGUCUGGCCUGAGCCCCAUCUGUAAAACAGGAUACAAAUGUCUGUCCCAGCAUUGAUUCCUUAAGGGUCACAGCUUCUCAAAGACACUUCAACUGAUUAAGGCAGGCAGGCGUUCCAAUAGACAUCUGGGAUGUUUGUGAUCUGUCGCUUUCCCCAAUAAAGACCUCUUCAGGAGGUGGCCUCUCUUUCAAGCUUUUCUUGAAUGCGCACCUGAAUCUGGGCAUUUCUGAGGCUGAACUUCAGCCGCUUUACUGUGCUCCUGCAACACUUUACUUGCUCAGAGUGGUGGAGGGUUCAUCAAUGAAUAAGACAGGUCCCUGCCCUCCAA